ACAAUCAUACAAUUCGUAUACUUUAAAAAUCAUAACUUUUCUUACAAGUUUGACGAAUUUGUUCAGUGAAAUAAAGAACGAGAGAGAGAGAAAUGGUAGCAGAAACUGAGUUUUCCGGUGGUUCAAGAAGUUACUUCCGCCGUCAAAUUCUCUCAUUUCGUCUCCUUUGGUAAGUCUAACUCGUUCGUAUUCUCCAGUUGUUCCACAUGUUUAAAGCUUCGAUUUUUCUUAUGGGUUCUGAAAUCGAUCGUCAAUAGUUAGGAGUUUGAUUGAAUUGCUUCGUAUUAGGGUUCUUUUAAAGAUGCUUUUAUAGGAUCCGGACAUGAUGUUUUAGAUCUCUUAAGGCAUAGAAGACCCUUGGUUGUGUUGUAGGUUAUGCAUAGCGUAGACGAGGUAGGUUAUGCAUGAUCGAUCAGUCCAUAUCUCUGUUUUGUUUUUUGAUAAAAUAGGUAUGUACCAACUUGUCCGAGUACUAGACCAUAUUCUACUCAACUUGUCAGCCUUGGUUGUGCUGUAGGAGAAACGAGGUAGGUUAGGCAUGAUGAUUGAUCAGUCCAUAGAUCUGUUUUGUUGUCAGUUAUGUGUAUACCUUUAUAGGAUCUAAAUGGAGACUGGAGGGCCAGAGAGAUACAUGGAAGAUGUUCUUGCGCAUAGUCAUAGACAUUUUAUCUUCUCAUGUUGGGUUUCUUUUUGAAUUGCAAAAGCUAAGCGCUUUAUAUGCGGUUAUAUAUCGUUGCCUUGCUACAGUCUAAAUGCUCUUUUAAAUCUGUAACCUGACUAGAUUUCAAGUUUAGCUUUUUGAUGGACCAGAGGUCGAGAAGCAUCAGCUCACGUACGACAAAAUCCCAUUAGGCUUUUCUUUGAAGAUUAGCAGUUUCAGACUAUGUGGAAGAAGUUAAGCUUUGGCAGACAAAUCGCAGCAUUAGCUCUUCUUUUGGUAUCACUGCUUCUUUGCCACUCGAUCUCAUUUUUUCAAAAGGUACAUGUUUCAUUCGUUUAGUUCUUUACUUCACUUAUCAUCAGUCUUUAAUUAGGAUCUUAAGUCAUUAGUGUUCUCUAGUUAUAGACAAAACUGUUGCCUUCUAGUAUGAAUAUACAGAAAAGUAAAAACUGAUGAUGGUUAAGGCUACAAA